AUCCCAAAUAAUCACGUUUCCUCUACACAAAGAAAAUGUCCUUUAUUUGAGGACUGUAUAUUAAAUUGAUUUUUGAAACAGGGGGCUGGAGUAGGAGCUUGCUCUGUCCACCCCAUGCAUUGACUUGGUAUUGCAGUGUCUCCGGGAAUGGUGCAUCUCCU
ensembl:snRNA U2 U2 spliceosomal RNA